rnacentral:rRNA from 1 species
AACGUAGGAGACAAACGUUAUCCGGAGUUACUGGGCGUAAAGGGCGUGUAGGUGGUUUCGUAAGUCUGGCGUGAAAUUUUUCGGCUUAACCGGGAAAGGUCGUCGGAUACUGCAGAACUAGAGGACGGUAGAGGCGUGUGGAAUACUUGGUGUAGAGGUGAAAUUCGUAGAUAUCAAGUGGAACACCGGUGGCGAAGGCGGCCUUCUGGACGAUGACUGACGCUGAGACGCGAAAGCGUGGGGAGCAAACAGG